GACGAACCGUGCGAACGUUAUUCGGAAUCACUGGGCUUAAAGGGUGCGUAGGCGGCGCGGUAAGUCGGGUGUGAAAUCUCGGAGCUUAACUUCGAAACUGCAUUCGAUACUGCCGUGCUUGAGGACUGGAGAGGAGACUGGAAUUUACGGUGUAGCGGUGAAAUGCGUAGAUAUCGUAAGGAAGACCAGUGGCGAAGGCGGGUCUCUGGACAGUUCCUGACGCUGAGGCACGAAGGCCAGGGGAGCAAACGGG
rnacentral:rRNA from 1 species